UACAGAGGGGGCAAGCGUUGUUCGGAAUUACUGGGCGUAAAGGGCGCGUAGGCGGUUCUUCAAGUCUCUCGUGAAAUCCCUCGGCUUAACUGAGGACGUGCGGGAGAUACUGAAGGGCUUGAGUCCGGAAGAGGGUGGUGGAAUUCCCAGUGUAGCGGUGAAAUGCGUAGAUAUUGGGAGGAACACCGGUGGCGAAGGCGGCCACCUGGGCCGGAACUGACGCUGAGGCGCGAAAGCGUGGGGAGCAAACGGG
rnacentral:rRNA from 1 species